rnacentral:rRNA from 1 species
GUGGGGAAUAUUGGACAAUGGGCGAAAGCCUGAUCCAGCCAUGCCGCGUGAGUGAUGAAGGCCCUAGGGUUGUAAAGCUCUUUCAGUGGGGACGAUAAUGACGAUACCCACAGAAGAAGCCCCGGCUAACUUCGUGCCAGCAGCCGCGGUAAUACGAAGGGGGCUAGCGUUGUUCGGAUUUACUGGGCGUAAAGCGCACGUAGGCGGAUCGUUAAGUCGAGGGUGAAAUCCUGGAGCUCAACUCAAGAACUGCCUUCGAUACUGGCGAUCUUGAGUCCGGAAGAGGUGAGUGGAACUCCUAGUGUAGAGGUGGAAUUCGUAGAUAUUAGGAAGAACACCAGUGGCGAAGGCGGCUCACUGGUCCGGUACUGACGCUGAGGUGCGAAAGCGUGGGGAGCAAACAGGAUUAGAUACCCCGGUAGUCC